rnacentral:rRNA from 2 species
GCACCUGAUUGAUUUUGGUCGCCAACGAGUGGCGGACGGGUGAGUAACACGUAGGUAACCUGCCCAGAAGCGGGGGACAACAUAUGGAAACAGAUGCUAAUACCGCAUAACAACGUUGUUCGCAUGAACAACGCUUAAAAGAUGGCUUCUCGCUAUCACUUCUGGAUGGACCUGCGGUGCAUUAGCUUGUUGGUGGGGUAACUGGCCUACCAAGGCGAUGAUGCAUAGCCGAGUUGAGAGACUGAUCGGCCACAAUGGGACUGAGACACGGCCCAUACUCCUACGGGAGGCAGCAGUAGGGAAUCUUCCACAAUGGGCGCAAGCCUGAUGGAGCAACACCGCGUGAGUGAAGAAGGGUUUCGGCUCGUAAAGCUCUGUUGUUAAAGAAGAACACGUAUGAGAUUAACUGUUCAUACGUUGACGGUAUUUAACCAGAAAGUCACGGCUAACUACGUGCCAGCAGCCGCGAGUAAUACGUACGGUGGCAAGCGUUAUCCGGAUUUAUUAGGGCGUAAAGAGAGUGCAGGCGGGUUUUUCUA